GAAGCAAGCCAGACCGCCGCUGGUGCGAGCGUGGAAACACGGCACUGGAGGAAGGUCCGGACUGCGCAGGGCGGCGUAGCAGCUAACGGCUGUCCACCGUGAGGUGAGGAUCAGAGCAACAGAGACGAGCCGAUUCAGUUCGGGUGAAACGGGCAAUCUCUACGCGCAGCAAUACCAAGUAGGCACACGUUGACCUGGUCCCGGGGAGUGUGCGGGUAGGUAGCACCGAGCCGGUUGGGCGACCGCCGGCCCAGAGGAAUGGCGGUCACGGCCGGGUUCUCGCAAGAGGCCCGGCCGCACAGAAUCCGGCCUAUCGGCUUGCUUCACAC
rnacentral:RNase_P_RNA from 2 species